rnacentral:lncRNA from 1 species
GUUGGGAGGCGCAGAAGGGGUUGUGAAAUGCAUGCUACAAUUCCGUCAUCAGCCCCUUCCUGUUGUUCUGGUACCGGGGGGAAACCUGGGCUGGCAAGACUGCGCUUCCUCCAUCUAGAAGCUUUCCUCAGGCCUGCUGAGUCACCCACCUGCUGCGGGGAAUGCACCUAUUUUUAGCCUGAGGCAGCUCCUGAAAGGCUUCACUCUUCUGCCCUGGUGCAGAAACGGGCCCUACCUCUUUCAGAUUGGCCUGGAGCUGUCAGCUACCAGUGACUUCCAGAACCAACUUGCAAAUGUCUGCCAAUCAGUGGCACUGCUCAGACCAGAGCUCAGAUAAGAUGUUCUGCAGUCUGCUGAGAAAAUCUUCCAACACAGUUGUGGGACACAGAAGUCACUCACCAGAAACACUGGUCAUAUCACUUCUCCUUAUCUCUCUUCCUGGUGACGAAGCCCAAUGCCUGUGAGAUCUUUUUAAACAGAACCCUUUUUCCAAAUAAGAUUUGACCCGACACAGGGCCCCAGUGUAUGUGAACAAUAAAAGCUUCACUCCACUAGUUUAAAUAUAUUUUCUAAGAAGUUCAAGUUUCCAACAUGUUACUGUGUUACUUAUGAAAUCAGUGU